rnacentral:rRNA from 1 species
UACGGAGGGUGCAGGCGUUAAUCGGAAUUACUGGGCGUAAAGCGUGCGCAGGCGGUUUGUUAAGUCCGCUGUGAAAUCCCCGAGCUCAACUUGGGAAUUGCAGUGGAUACUGGCAAGCUGGAGUAUGGUAGAGGAAGGUGGAAUUCCCGGUGUAGCAGUGAAAUGCGUAGAGAUCGGGAGGAACACCAGUGGCGAAGGCGGCCUUCUGGACCAAUACUGACGCUCAUGCACGAAAGCGUGGGGAGCAAACAGG